UACGGAGGAUUCGAGCGUUAUCCGGAUUUAUUGGGUUUAAAGGGAGCGUAGGCGGGUUGUUAAGUCAGUUGUGAAAGUUUGCGGCUCAACCGUAAAAUUGCAGUUGAUACUGGCAUCCUUGAGUACAGUAGAGGUACGCGGAAUUCGUGGUGUAGCGGUGAAAUGCUUAGAUAUCACGAAGAACUCCGAUUGCGAAGGCAGCCUGCUGGACUGUAACUGACGCUGAUGCUCGAAAGUGUGGGUAUCAAACAGG
rnacentral:rRNA from 1 species